rnacentral:tRNA from 1 species
GGAGGUGUGGAUGAGUGGUUUAAAUCAACGGUUUACUAAACCGUCGAACCUUAAUCGGUUCCGUGAGUUCGAAUCUCACCACCUCCGCCA